UUUUUUAUAAAAAUAAUUUAUUUAUUUAAGGUUUUAGUAUUUAGUAAAAAUAAUUUUUUAGAUUUAUAGUUUAAUAGUAUUGUAAAAGAAAUUGUUAAAUUUUAUAAAGAAUUUUAUAGUACCUUUUGUAUCAGGGUUGAUUAAAAUUUUUAAUUUUUUUUUAAUUUCUCAAAAUUUAUAGAGUUAAUUUUAUUAUUAAUUUAUUGUGGUAAAAAUAUUUAUAAAAUAAUAUUAGUUUUGAAAUUUAAUUCGUUAUAUUAUAUUUAGUUAUUUAAGAUUUAAAUUUAAUUUAAAAUUUUAAAAGUUGUAUUAAUUUUAUUGAUUAAUAUUUUAAAUUUAAAUUAUUUUAGGGAUAAGCUUGAAAUUUUAAUAUAAUAAUUUAUUUAUUUUAAUAAUUUAUAGGAAUAGAAAUUUUUAUUUAAGUUUGUAAAAAUUUAUUAUUUAUUUAAUUUUAAUUUAUUAUAUUUAUAUUUAUUUUUAAUAUUAAAUUUUAUUAAUUAAUAUUUAAUUAAUAGUAAUAAUGAUUAAAUUAGUAUAAUAUAUAAAUUUAUAAAUUAUGAAUUCGGCAAAAAUUAUUUUCAUCUGUUUAACAAAAACAUUGUAUUAAGUUUAAUUUAAUAUAGGAUCUGCUCAAUGAUUUAUUAAAUAGCUGCAGUAUUUUGACUGUGCAAAGGUAGCAUAAUAAUUAGUCUUUUAAUUGAGGACUUGAAUGAAAGAUUUGAUGAGAAAUAGACUUUAUUAUUUAUAAAAUUAAAAUAUUAUUUUUAAGUAAAAAAGCUUAAAUUAUUUAAAGGGACGAUAAGACCCUAUAAAACUUUAUAAAUUUUGAUUUUAAUUUUUUUGGAUUCAUAAAUAUUUUAUAAUUAAAAUUUAUUUUAUUGGGGUGAUAAAAAAAAUUGCUAAACUUUUUUUAAAAUUUAACAUUAUUUAAUGAUUAGUUGAAUUAAAAUUUUUAAUUAAAGGCAAAAGUUACCUUAGGGAUAACAGCGUAAUUAAUUUUUUAAGUUCAAAUUUAAAAAUUAGUUUGCGACCUCGAUGGGGAAAUAAGAUUAAUCUUAGGUGCAAAAUUUUAAGUAUUAGCUCUGUCCGUCCCCUAAC
rnacentral:rRNA from 1 species